rnacentral:rRNA from 2 species
GACGAACCGGACAAACGUUAUUCGGAAUUACUGGGCUUAAAGGGUUUGUAGGCGGCCUUGUAAGUCAGGUGUGAAAUCCCUCGGCUCAACCGAGGAAUAGCGCUUGAUACUGCAAGGCUUGAGGGAGACAGGGGUAAGCGGAACUGAUGGUGGAGCGGUGAAAUGCGUUGAUAUCAUCAGGAACACCGGUGGCGAAAGCGGCUUACUGGGUCUCUUCUGACGCUGAGGAACGAAAGCUAGGGGAGCGAACGGG